GAUGAACGCUGGCGGCGUGCCUAAUACAUGCGAGUCGAGCGAACGGACGCGGAGCUUGCUUCUCUGAUGUUAGCGGCGGACGGGUGAGUAACACGUGGAUACCCUACCUAUAAGACUGGGAUAACUUCGGGAAACCGGAGCUAAUACCGGAUAAUCUUUUGAACCGCAGGGUUCAAAAGUGAAAGACGGUCUUGCUGUCACUUAUCGAUGGAUCCGCGCUGCAUUAGCUAGUUGGUAAGGUAACGGCUUACCAAGGCAACGAUGCAUAGCCGACCUGAGAGGGGGAUCGGCCACCCGAGAAGGUGAACACGGUCCAUGCUCCUACGGGAGGCAGCAGUAUGGAACCGUCCGCAAUGGGCGGAAGCCUGACGGAGCGGCGCCGCGUGAGUGAUGAAGGUCUUCGGAUCGUAAAGCUCUGUUAUUAGUGAAGAACAUAUUUGUAAGUAACUGUGCACAUCGUGACGGUACCGAAUCAGAAAGCCACGGCUAACUACGUG
rnacentral:rRNA from 1 species